AAGGAAUUAGCUCAACGGUAGAGCGAUCGUUUUACACACGAUAGGUUAGGUGUUCGAAUCGCCUAUUCCUUAC
rnacentral:tRNA from 1 species